AUUAGGUCCCAUUUUAAAAUUCUGGUUUUAUUUCUUUUGCCUUGGGAGACUGAUCUAAGAAAAUAUUGUUACAAUUUAUGUCAGAGAAUGUUUUGCCUAUAUUCUCUUCCAGGAGUUUUAUGAUGUCAUGUCUUAUAUUCAGGAGGUCUUUUCACCUUUUUGAAGUUUUGU